GACGAACGCUGGCGGCGUGCUUAGCACAUGCAAGUCGAACGGAAAGGCCCUGCUUUUGUGGGGUGCUCGAGUGGCGAACGGGUGAGUAACACGUGAGUAACCUGCCCUUGACUUUGGGAUAACUUCAGGAAACUGGGGCUAAUACCGGAUAGGAGCUCCUGCUGCAUGGUGGGGGUUGGAAAGUUUCGGCGGUUGGGGAUGGGCUCGCGGCUUAUCAGCUUGUUGGUGGGGUAGUGGCUUACCAAGGCUUUGACGGGUAGCCGGCCUGAGAGGGUGACCGGCCACAUUGGGACUGAGAUACGGCCCAGACUCCUACGGGAGGCAGCAGUGGGGAAUAUUGCACAAUGGGCGGAAGCCUGAUGCAGCAACGCCGCGUGCGGGAUGACGGCCUUCGGGUUGUAAACCGCUUUCGCCUGUGACGAAGCGUGAGCGACGGUAAUGGGUAAAGAAGCACCGGCUAACUACGUG
rnacentral:rRNA from 1 species